ACAUACAGAACAUAAAAGGGUGUUGUUCUGUUGUUUACCUUCAGGUAGGUAGGUAAUUUGAAUUAAGCUACCUACCUAGCUUCGUACCCUAGCAUCAAUUAAAUUCCAUGUUCAUAUUAUUAUUAUUAUUAUUAUUAUUAAUUCAUCUAAUAAACUUUUAUGAUUUAUUUGAGAUUUGGCCGCAAUGAAUUCCAAAUCCAAACAUUAUUCAUGGCUUUGAUUGUUCAUUAUUAUACAGUGGUGAUCAGAUUCAGAGCUACCCAAGCUUCUAUUCCAUUUCUAUUUGCCGAGACCCAACUGGAAUCCUCCGUCAGUCAGUCAGAGGUUGAAAAUAUCUUUUCCUCAAAUCAAACAAAUUGUUCCUAUUGAGUGAGUAGGAUUGAUUGAUGAUUACUUUGGAUUGCACAAAGUUCAAGUUCAUGGAAUAUUGUUGAUUGCUAACAUUUUGAAGUUUUGGAUCCGGCUUGUGGAUGUUUUUUGUUUGAAUCGCUUUUAAAAUCUAGAGGACAGAUAGAUUAUUUCUCAUUUGUACUACGAAACUGGUUCUUUUUAUUAAGCUAGUUACUAUAGUACACAUUCCAUUGUGUAAUUGUAAGCCGCUGAAAAUGAUAGACAGAUAGAUAAAUUGUGCAA